rnacentral:piRNA from 1 species
UGCCAACUGACUUCUCUCCGAUGCCCAGA